rfam:Tinamus guttatus contig17280, whole genome shotgun sequence.
UCAGAGGUUUUUUUCAAAACCAUAAGAUACUCUGACCAGGUAUGU